GAAAGUGCGAAAAUAAAAUAAAUAAUGUAAGGUUGGAAGGAGAUUUGCUUUUGUAUUAUUCUCGUUGUUUCUUUUGCUUGUUAAUUUAUGUCU
rnacentral:ribozyme from 1 species